GACGAACGCUGGCGGCGUGCCUAAUACAUGCAAGUCGAGCGCGGGAAGCUUGCGGAAUCCUUCGGGAGGAAGUGAGCGGACCGAGCGGCGGACGGGUGAGUAACACGUGGGCAACCUGCCCGUAAGACGGGGAUAACCCCGGGAAACCGGGGCUAAUACCGGAUAGGUGACCUUUCUGCAUGGAGGGGUCAUGAAAGGCGGCGGAAGCCGUCGCUUACGGAGGGGCCCGCGGCGCAUUAGCUAGUUGGUGAGGGAAGGGCUCACCAAGGCGACGAUGCGUAGCCGGCCUGAGAGGGUGAACGGCCACACUGGGACUGAGACACGGCCCAGACUCCUACGGGAGGCAGCAGUAGGGAAUCUUCCGCAAUGGACGGAAGUCUGACGGAGCAACGCCGCGUGAGUGAGGAAGGCCUUCGGGUCGUAAAGCUCUGUUGUUCGUGAAGAAGGGGUGGCCAGGAAAUGGGCCGACAUGACGUAGCA
rnacentral:rRNA from 1 species